rnacentral:rRNA from 1 species
AUGGCUCAGGAUGAACGCUGGCGGCGUGCUUAACACAUGCAAGUCGAACGAAGCUCCUUGAACUGAAGAUUCGUCUGAUGGGAUAGGAAGACUUAGUGGCGGACGGGUGAGUAACGCGUGGGUAACCUGCCGUAUACAGGGGGAUAACAGUUAGAAAUGACUGCUAAUACCGCAUAAGCGCACAGUGAGGCAUCUCACAGUGUGAAAAACUCCGGUGGUAUACGAUGGACCCGCGUCUGAUUAGCCAGUUGGCAGGGUAACGGCCUACCAAAGCGACGAUCAGUAGCCGGCCUGAGAGGGUGAACGGCCACAUUGGGACUGAGACACGGCCCAAACUCCUACGGGAGGCAGCAGUGGGGAAUAUUGCACAAUGGGGGAAACCCUGAUGCAGCGACGCCGCGUGAGUGAAGAAGCAUUUCGGUGCGUAAAGCUCUAUCAGCAGGGAAGAAAAUGACGGUACCUGACUAAGAAGCCCCGGCUAACUACGUGCCAGCCGCUGC